rnacentral:rRNA from 1 species
GGAAGUGCUCGCAAGAGAACCGGAACACAGGUGCUGCAUGGCUGUCGUCAGCUCGUGUCGUGAGAUGUUGGGUUAAGUCCCGCAACGAGCGCAACCCUUGUCAUUAGUUGCUACGAAAGGGCACUCUAAUGAGACUGCCGGUGACAAACCGGAGGAAGGUGGGGAUGACGUCAAGUCCUCAUGGCCCUUAUGGGUAGGGCUUCACACGUCAUACAAUGGUCGGGACAGAGGGUCGCCAACCCGCGAGGGGGAGCCAAUCCCAGAAACCCGAUCGUAGUCCGGAUCGCAGUCUGCAACUCGACUGCGUGAAGUCGGAAUCGCUAGUAAUCGCGGAUCAGCAUGUCGCGGUGAAUACGUUCCCGG